rnacentral:tRNA from 1 species
GUAGCUUUUAUUUCGGUAAAAAAUGCGUAAGCUAUUGAAAUUGAAGGUUAUAUUUGUGCUGUGAUGUACGAGAAUGAGGGUUCGAAUCCCUCCCUCACCGCCA